rnacentral:rRNA from 1 species
GACGAACGCUGGCGGCGUGCCUAAUACAUGCAAGUCGUGCGGACCUUUUAAAAGCUUGCUUUUAAAAGGUUAGCGGCGGACGGGUGAGUAACACGUGGGCAACUUGCCUGUAAGACUGGGAUAACGCCGGGAAACCGGGGCUAAUACCAGAUCGUUUUUUCCUCCGCAUGGAGGAAAAAGGAAAGGCGGCUUCGGCUGCCACUUACAGAUGGGCCCGCGGCGCAUUAGCUAGUUGGCGGGGUAACGGCCCACCAAGGCAACGAUGCGUAGCCGACCUGAGAGGGUGAUCGGCCACAUUGGGACUGAGACACGGCCCAAACUCCUACGGGAGGCAGCAGUAGGGAAUCUUCCGCAAUGGACGAAAGUCUGACGGAGCAACGCCGCGUGAGUGAAGAAGGCCUUCGGGUCGUAAAACUCUGUUGCCGGGGAAGAACAAGUGCCGUUCGAACAGGGCGGCGCCUUGACGGUACCCGGCCAGAAAGCCACGGCUAACUACGUG